rnacentral:rRNA from 1 species
AUGAACGCUGGCGGCGUGCUUAACACAUGCAAGUCGAACGGGAAACCUUUUAUUGAAGCUUCGGCAGAUUUAGCUGGUUUCUAGUGGCGGACGGGUGAGUAACGCGUGGGUAACCUGCCCUAUACAGGGGGAUAACAACCAGAAAUGGUUGCUAAUACCGCAUAAGCGCACAGGGCCGCAUGGUCCGGUGUGAAAAACUCCGGUGGUAUAGGAUGGACUCGCGUUGGAUUAGCCAGUUGGCAGGGUAACGGCCUACCAAAGCGACGAUCCAUAGCCGGCCUGAGAGGGUGAACGGCCACAUUGGGACUGAGACACGGCCCAGACUCCUACGGGAAGCAGCAGUGGGGAAUAUUGCACAAUGGGGGAAACCCUGAUGCAGCGACGCCGCGUGAAGGAAGAAGUAUCUCGGUAUGUAAACUUCUAUCAGCAGGGAAGAUAGUGACGGUACCUGACGAAGAAGCCCCGGCUAACUACGUG